rnacentral:lncRNA from 1 species
AAAUGCCAAUGCACAUGUCUCAUACCUGCUUCAAGUGAUCCACAAGUCGCUGGACAUGAAAACAUGGGUGCAAAUAGUCUUUCAAAAAAAAACAUGGGUGCAAAUAAUCUUUCAAAAAAAAACAUGGGUGCAAAGAAAGCCACAGGUAGACCGUCAUGUCUAUCUGUGCAGCUGCUUAUGUGGCUCGCAUGCACAAUCAUGAGCUUGCAGAUGUGCGGCUCCAUGAAAAUAUUAUCAACAUGCCCCUAGGACCAGAAUUAAUUGAACAGAUAUACAUCGAUGCUGUCCAAGUAUGAGACAGCAACACCAGGUAAUUUGAGAUAUAUAUACUGAUAGGCAAGAAUUUGAGAAAAAAGAAGUGAAAACAGCACAUCAACUAGAUUACAGGCUUACAGCUAGAUUUACAGCACAUCAAUUUGCUUUCUUAAACUGGAUUAGGCACGUGUUACAGGCUUACAGCUAGAUUUGCACUGUCAUAAGUAGGAUAACAGGAAAAAAAAUAGCAAAUGAUGCAGUAUAUCAACUACAUCCCCUAGGCUAGUACAUUCCAAAGGCACUAGCAUUCUUGCAAUAUGAGCAGAUACAUCAAAAAUAACUUGUUUGCUACUCUGCUCCAUGUUGGUCAGUUAAGGUCUGGGGCGCAGCAUUGAAAACAAACAAUGAACAAAUUUAAGGAUGAUUAUUUAGAGCAUGUGCAAGGAAAAGACAAACUUUCAGUCAGCUAGAUGUCACAACUUUAUUGUGGCAGUUUGUGCAUUUAAGUUACAAGAAUGAUGUCUAACUCUAAUUGCAAUUCCAAUGCCAAUUUCAAGGGUGCAAAGCAUGAACUC